UAAUUUAAUUAAACAAAAUAAAAUCAAUAUAAUUGAAAAUCAGCUUUAUAGUAUAUCAAAUUGUAUGUGGUUAGUGGUUACAUACAACCACCAACGCAUUAUUGGAAAAAGCCUGAACGAGCAGCCAGUAUGGUAUACACAUACAUUUAAUGCUGUCAGCUGACUCUAAAAGCCACAACAGGGACUUGAAACGGCUAUUGCCGACAAUCCGAGUCCUGUAGCAACACUAUCAAACAAAGCAUCGAGGCUCGAGGUAAAUAUUGGUGUCCCUGAACAGGAUGAAUCUAUUAUUUGAAUAAAAAUUCGGCAGACCGUGAUAGCUCUUCACGGUACCAGACGGAGUAAGGGUUACUAAAUCGAUGGAUUCGAUCCAAGAAUUCAGCUAAAGCCGGGUAUACAAUACAAUCGUGAGCAUCUAUAAUAACAAUUGGAGUUGGAAUUGCGAUGCAAUGUCAAGCGGUAGUUCGGCAGCCUCUCGUCCUUUGCUCAUUGCUCUUAUAGGUACAUACACCAUACACCAUAGUCCCGUGUUUCAAUCUGCCCAAUUAUAAAGGACGGAUAUGAUGCUGUUGGGAUGAAAUUGCAGUAUCGAUUGGUGGCAUUCAAUUGCCUCAUGUGCGACAGGUCUGGAACUAGGGUCGACUGAAACAACUCCUGAUUGUCGAUCAUUGCCUUUGUCUGUUAUUCUAUCAAGGCUUUUAAUUGAUUGCAACAUAUAGAUAUACCUCUCUGCUCUCUACAGACACCUAUACACACAAUUUCCAUCGCCAGUACACAUAAUAAUAAUAUUAAUAAUAAUAUAAUUUAUAAACCGAAAUAGAGCAACUUACAUCUU